AGGAUGAACGCUGGCGGCGUGCCUAACACAUGCAAGUCGAACGUCCUGUCUCGCAAGAGGCAGGGAGUGGCGGACGGGUGAGUACCACGUGGGUUAUCUACCGUGAGGUGAGGAAUACCGGCGAGAAAUCGCCGACAAGACCGCAUAGCCUCGGUGCAAGCCGAGCAAAGCUCUUUCGAGAGAGGGAGCGCCACACGAGGAGCCUGCGCCCGAUUAGCUAGCUGGUGGAGUAACGGUUCACCAGGGCGACGAUCGGUAGCUGGUCUGAGAGGACGAUCAGCCACACUGGGAUUGAGAACGGCCCAGACUCCUACGGGGGGCAGCAGUGAGGAAUUUCGUCAAUGGGGCAACCCUGAACGAGCAACGCCGCGUGCAGGAAGAAGGUUUUCGGAUCGUAAACUGCUUUUCGUCGGGGAAGAGAACGGACGGUACCCGAGGAAUCGAGCCCCGGCUAACUACGUGCCAGCAGCCGCGGUAA
rnacentral:rRNA from 1 species